rnacentral:rRNA from 1 species
UACGUAGGGUGCGAGCGUUAAUCGGAAUUACUGGGCUAAAGCGUGCGCAGGCGGUGAUGUAAGACAGGUGUGAAAUCCCCCGGGCUUAACCUGGGAACUGCAUUUGUGACUGCAUCGCUGGAGUGCGGCAGAGGGGGGAUGGAAUUCCGCGUGUAGCAGUGAAAAUGCGUAGAGAUGUGGAGGAAUACCGAUGGCGAAGGCAGCCCCCCUGGGCCAAUACUGACGCUCAUGCACGAAAAGCGUGGGGGAGCAAACAGG